UACGUAGGGUGCAAGCGUUAAUCGGAAUUACUGGGCGUAAAGCGUGCGCAGGCGGUGAUGUAAGACAGGUGUGAAAUCCCCGGGCUUAACCUGGGAACUGCAUUUGUGACUGCAUCGCUGGAGUGCGGCAGAGGGGGAUGGAAUUCCGCGUGUAGCAGUGAAAUGCGUAGAUAUGCGGAGGAACACCGAUGGCGAAGGCAAUCCCCUGGGCCUGCAC
rnacentral:rRNA from 1 species